rnacentral:rRNA from 1 species
UGGGGAAUAUUGGACAAUGGGCGAAAGCCUGAUCCAGCAAUGCCGCGUGAGUGAUGAAGGCCUUAGGGUUGUAAAGCUCUUUUACCAGGGAUGAUAAUGACAGUACCUGGAGAAUAAGCUCCGGCUAACUCCGUGCCAGCAGCCGCGGUAAUACGGAGGGAGCUAGCGUUGUUCGGAAUUACUGGGCGUAAAGCGUACGUAGGCGGUGACUCAAGUCAGAGGUGAAAGCCUGGAGCUCAACUCCAGAACUGCCUUUGAAACUAGGUCGCUAGAAUCACGGAGAGGUGAGUGGAAUUCCGAGUGUAGAGGUGAAAUUCGUAGAUAUUCGCAGGAACACCAGUGGCGAAGGCGACUUGCUGGACUUAUGGUGACGCUGAGACGCGAAAGCGUGGGGAGCAAACAGGAUUAGAUACCCGCGUAGUCCCUGAGCGGGCUGGCAAGGCGCAU